rnacentral:tRNA from 1 species
GGAGGGUAUAGCUCAGUGGUAGAGCGUGUGCCUAUCAUGCACAGGGUCCUGGUUUCAAUCCCCAGUACCUCCA